UACGAAGGAUCCUAGCGUUGUCCGGAUUUACUGGGUUUAAAGGGUGCGUAGGCGGUCUUUUAAGUCAGUGGUGAAAGCCUGCAGCUUAACUGUAGAAUUGCCAUUGAAACUGAUUGUCUCGAGUGCGGUUGAGGUCACUGGAAUGUAUCAUGUAGCGGUGAAAUGCUUAGAUAUGAUACAGAACACCAAUUGCGAAGGCAGGUGACUAAGCCGUAACUGACGCUGAUGCACGAAAGCGUGGGGAUCAAACAGG
rnacentral:rRNA from 1 species